UACGUAGGGACCGAGCGUUGUCCGGAAUCAUUGGGCGUAAAGAGCGUGUAGACGGCUCGCUAAGUCUUGCGUGAAAUCUCGGGGCUCAACCCCGAGCGGUCGUGAGAAACUGGCGGGCUAGAGUGCGGGAGAGGAGAGUGGAAUUCCUGGUGUAGCGGUGAAAUGCGUAGAUAUGUGGAGGAACACCGAUGGCGAAGGCAGCCCCCUGGGUUAACACUGACGCUCAUGCACGAAAGCGUGGGGAGCAAACAGG
rnacentral:rRNA from 1 species